rnacentral:rRNA from 1 species
UAAGCCUGUGAAGGUGUGUCGUGAGGCAUGCUGGAGGUAUCAGAAGUGCGAAUGCUGACAUAAGUAACGAUAAAGCGGGUGAAAAGCCCGCUCGCCGGAAGACCAAGGGUUCCUGUCCAACGUUAAUCGGGGCAGGGUGAGUCGACCCCUAAGGCGAGGCCGAAAGGCGUAGUCGAUGGGAAACGGGUUAAUAUUCCCGUACUUGGUGUUACUGCGAAGGGGGGACGGAGAAGGCUAUGUUGGCCGGGCGACGGUUGUCCCGGUUUAAGCGUGUAGGUGUGUGUUCCAGGUAAAUCCGGUUCACUUUAACACUGAGGCGUGACGACGAGGCACUACGGUGCUGAAGCAACAAAUGCCCUGCUUCCAGGAAAAGCCUCUAAGCAUCAGGUAACAUCAAAUCGUACCCCAAACCGACACAGGUGGUCAGGUAGAGAAUACCAAGGCGCUUGAGAGAACUCGGGUGAAGGAACUAGGCAAAAUGGUGCCGUAACUUCGGGAGAAGGCACGCUGACACGUAGGUGAAGUGAUUUACUCAUGGAGCUGAAGUCAGUCGAAGAUACCAGCUGGCUGCAACUGUUUAUUAAAAACACAGCACUGUGCAAACACGAAAGUGGACGUAUACGGUGUGACGCCUGCCCGGUGCCGGAAGGUUAAUUGAUGGGGUCAGCGCAAGCGAAGCUCCUGAUCGAAGCCCCGGUAAACGGCGGCCGUAACUAUAACGGUCCUAAGGUAGCGAAAUUCCUUGUCGGGUAAGUUCCGACCUGCACGAAUGGCGUAAUGAUGGCCAGGCUGUCUCCACCCGAGACUCAGUGAAAUUGAACUCGCUGUGAAGAUGCAGUGUACCCGCGGCAAGACGGAAAGACCCCGUGAACCUUUACUAUAGCUUGACACUGAACAUUGAGCCUUGAUGUGUAGGAUAGGUGGGAGGCUUUGAAGUGUGGACGCCAGUCUGCAUGGAGCCGACCUUGAAAUACCACCCUUUAAUGUUUGAUGUUCUAACGUGGACCCGUGAUCCGGGUUGCGGACAGUGUCUGGUGGGUAGUUUGACUGGGGCGGUCUCCUCCUAAAGAGUAACGGAGGAGCACGAAGGUUGGCUAAUCCUGGUCGGACAUCAGGAGGUUAGUGCAAUGGCAUAAGCCAGCUUGACUGCGAGCGUGACGGCGCGAGCAGGUGCGAAAGCAGGUCAUAGUGAUCCGGUGGUUCUGAAUGGAAGGGCCAUCGCUCAACGGAUAAAAGGUACUCCGGGGAUAACAGGCUGAUACCGCCCAAGAGUUCAUAUCGACGGCGGUGUUUGGCACCUCGAUGUCGGCUCAUCACAUCCUGGGGCUGAAGUAGGUCCCA